rnacentral:rRNA from 1 species
CAUGAAGCUGGAAUCGCUAGUAAUCGCGGAUCAGAAUGCCGCGGUGAAUACGUUCCCGGGUCUUGUACACACCGCCCGUCACACCAUGGGAGUCGGAAAUGCCCGAAGUCUGUGACCCAACCGAAAGGAGGGAGCAGCCGAAGGCAGGUCGGAUGACUGGGGUGAAGUCGUAACAAGGUAAC